UACGUAGGCAGCGAGCGUUGUUCGGAUUUAUUGGGCGUAAAGAGCGUGUAGGCGGCCAGGCAGGUCUGGUGUGAAAACUCGAGGCUUAACCUCGAGAUGUCAUCGGAAACCAUUUGGCUAGAGUCCGGAAGAGGAGAGUGGAAUUCCUGGUGUAGCGGUGAAAUGCGCAGAUAUCAGGAGGAACACCAAUAGCGAAGGCAGCUCGCUGGGACGUUACUGACACUGAGGCGCGAAAGCGUGGGGAGCGAACAGG
rnacentral:rRNA from 1 species